rnacentral:rRNA from 1 species
UAACAGCGGAGAGUUUGAUCCUGGCUCAGGAUGAACGCUAGCGGCAGGCUUAACACAUGCAAGUCGAAGGGCAGCGGGGGAGGAGCUUGCUC